GCCUUCGUGGUGUAACGGUUAGCACACUCGGCAUGUAUUCGAGAAGUCCAGGUUCGAGUCCCAGCGACGGCA
rnacentral:tRNA from 1 species